rnacentral:rRNA from 1 species
UACGUAGGGGGCAAGCGUUGUCCGGAUUUAUUGGGCGUAAAGAGCGUGUAGGCGGCCUGGUAGGUCAGCUGUGAAAACUCGAGGCUCAACCUCGAGACGCCGGUUGAAACCAUCAGGCUAGAGUCCGGAAGAGGAGAGUGGAAUUCCCGGUGUAGCGGUGGAAUGCGCAGAUAUCAGGAAGAACACCAACGGCGAAGGCAGCUCGCUGGGACGGUACUGACGCUGAGACGCGAAAGCGUGGGGAGCGAACAGG